rnacentral:rRNA from 1 species
AUGAGUAAAGCAUAUGACAGAGUAGAAUGGCCUUUUCUUGAGAAAAUUAUGCGAAAAUUGGGAUUCGCUGCAGCAUGGGUUGAUUUAAUCAUGAAAUGUGUUUCCACAGUCAGCUAUAGAGUGAAGAUAAAUGGAGAGUAUUCAGAACAAUUCAGGCCUCAACGGGGUUUGCGUCAAGGUGAUCCCCUAUCACCAUACCUAUUUAUUUUAUGUGCCGAGGGUCUGUCAGCUCUUCUCAAGCAAGCUGAAGAAAGAAGGGAGAUACAAGGCAUCCGAGUAUGCCCUGGGGCUAUUUGUGUGAGCCACCUUUUCUUUGCCGAUGAUACAUUGGUCUUGCUAAAAGCUACAAAAUCAGGAGCCCAAAGCUUACAAAGGAUUCUACAGCUUUAUGAGGAAGUCUCGGGUCAGAUGAUAAAUAAGGAUAAGACGACAGUUAUGUUCAGCCCCAAUACAACUGAGGAGAUUAAGAAGCAAGUACUGACAGAACUAAAUAUUACGAAGCUCGCUAGUAAUGAAAAAUAUUUGGGCCUGCCAGUUUAUGUUGGGAAAUCGAAGAAACGUAUGUUUGAAUACAUUAAACAAAAAGUGUGGACACGAAUUCAAGGCUGGCAAGAGAAGCUGCUUUCCAAGGCUGGUAAAGAAAUCAUGAUAAAAGCAGUUGCUCAAGCCAUUCCUACAUAUGCUAUGUCCUGCUUCGAACUGACAAAAGAGCUAUGUGAGGAGAUUUCUUCCAUCAUCGGGAGGUAUUGGUGGAGUCAGCAAGAUAAGAUGAAUAAAAUCCAUUGGGUCUCUUGGGAGAAAGUGACCAGAUCGAAAAGCAAGGGUGGCAUGGGAUUUCGGGAUCUGUACACAUUUAACAUUGCUAUGUUGGCUAGGCAGGCUUGGAGAAUCCUUGUGUUUCCAGAUACCUUAUGUGCACAAGUACUGAAGGCCAAGUACUUUUCAGAUAAAUCUAUCCUUAAGGCAACUGCUAAAAAAGGCAUUUCAUAUACAUGGAGGAGCAUUCUUAAAGGGGUGCAGUUGCUGAAGGAAGGUCUAAUCUGGAGGAUUGGAAAUGGUGAUACAGUGGAUAUUUGGAAAGAUCCGUGGAUACCAAGGAAUUUCACAAGAAGGGUCAUUACACCUCGAAGGGGAUCCAUCCUUCAGAAGGUUGCUGAUCUCAUUAAUCCUAUCACUGGAUCGUGGGAUGAGCAGCUAAUUACAGAAACAUUUUGGGAGGAAGACGCUAAAUUUAUUUUAUCGAUUCCACUAUUCGAAGAUACGGAGGAUUUUCCAGCCUGUCAUCCUGAUCCCAAGGGGCUUUUUUCGGUGAAAAUCGGCCUAUUCUUUAGGCAUCAAAAUCAGGGAUCAAGUAAAUGGGGCCGAUGCAUCACCCUCUUCUGA